rnacentral:lncRNA from 1 species
UAACCGCACAAAAUAUAUUUGCAAAAUUUGGGAACUCAAACAUGAAACAAACACUAUGUAUGAAGGAUUUACACAUGAUAUAUUGAUUUACUUGUACAAAUUUAUCAGUGUUUACACAAUAAUCAACAUGGAUAAAGCAGUGGAGUGGUUUGUCGCAUUACUGCACUUCUGUGGGAGUGCCUGGGGACGCAAUGUGAGCGAGCCAGUCCCAGUAAACCAUGAUUAUGAACUGCAUGAUCCAAAAAAAUAAGAUUUUCCACUAUUUGUCAGUCCAGGGAACUGAAUAUACCAAAAUCUAUACUUCUGCUAUAAGAUUAUGAGCCUACCAAAUGAUUUGCCAACACUCGAGCAAACAGCACGAAGAAACAGCCACCAGGCUUGGUUUCACACUAUCCUAUCUUGUGAAUUGCAGAGGUCAGUGCAGCAAGGCAAAGUUUGGGGGGCGCGUGACUCCCAAUCCUGGACAUAACCCAUUUACAGAUUGCUAUCAUCACUUCAUCAGCAUAUAAUGGUUGAAGCUUGAAAGGAAAUUGAGAAACUUAUAAAACUUCACGAGUAAUGUUCUUCACCAAA